AGACUUCAAAUACAAUGCCAAAAAAGUCCUUUCUGUGAAGUGUAAUAACAUCAUCUGGGUCAUACACUUCAUUUACAUCCAGACAUCGCUUCUGCUUGAGUGUACAGGGUUACACAUUUCCAACUUACCAUCAGAUGGAUGGACCUCAAUGACGACAUCCUCUAUUGGGGCA